rnacentral:lncRNA from 1 species
UGAUGAGAAUGCAAAAUGUCAUAUUUUUCUUUCUUAAUGUUUAGUCUUUUAUACUUAUUUUGUGCCUAAAUGUACUCAUUAUUCUUAUAUUUUGAUUUAGGAUGCAAAUGGAAGCGUUAAGUACAAAACGAAGCUAAUUGGAUGAUUUUGGACAGUUUCGAUAUUGCUUCGUAAUUUAAGCAUAACUUUUUCAUCCGAGCUCUGACUGAGAUGAUUCAAGAUGCUGUGGAAAGCCAAGAAAACGCUCUACAACUUUCAUGUUUUGAGUUUUGAUAGAUACU